rnacentral:rRNA from 1 species
AAUGGGGGCAACCCUGAUCCAGCCAUGCCGCGUGAGUGAAGAAGGCCUUAGGGUUGUAAAGCUCUUUCACCCGUGACGAUGAUGACGGUAGCGGGAGAAGAAGCCCCGGCUAAUUCCGUGCCAGCAGCCGCGGUAAUACGGAAGGGGCUAGCGUUGUUCGAAAUUACUGGGCGUAAAGCGCGCGUAGGCGGCCAUGCAAGUGAGGCGUGAAAGGCCUGGGCUCAACCUGGGAACUGCGUUUCAGACUGCACGGCUCGAGUCCGGGAGAGGGUGGUGGAAUUCCCAGUGUAGAGGUGAAAUUCGUAGAUAUCGGGAGGAACACCAGUGGCGAAGGCGGAAACCUGGGCCGAUACUGACGCUGAGGUGCGAAAGCGUGGGGAGCAAA